rnacentral:rRNA from 1 species
AGAGUUUUGAUCAUGGCUCAGAUUGAACGCUGGCGGCAGGCCUAACACAUGCAAGUCGAGCGGUAACACAAGGGAGCUUGCUCCUGAGGUGACGAGCGGCGGACGGGUGAGUAAUGCCUAGGGAUCUGCCCAGUCGAGGGGGAUAACAGUUGGAAACGACUGCUAAUACCGCAUACGCCCUACGGGGGAAAGGAGGGGACCUUCGGGCCUUCCGCGAUUGGAUGAACCUAGGUGGGAUUAGCUAGUUGGUGAGGUAAUGGCUCACCAAGGCGACGAUCCCUAGCUGUUCUGAGAGGAUGAUCAGCCACACUGGGACUGAGACACGGCCCAGACUCCUACGGGAGGCAGCAGUGGGGAAUAUUGCACAAUGGGGGAAACCCUGAUGCAGCCAUGCCGCGUGUGUGAAGAAGGCCUUCGGGUUGUAAAGCACUUUCAGUAGGGAGGAAAGGUUAUUGUUUAAUACGCAACUUCUGUGACGUUACCUACAGAAGAAGGACCGGCUAACUCCGUGCCAGCAGCCGCGGUAAUACGGAGGGUCCGAGCGUUAAUCGGAAUUACUGGGCGUAAAGCGUGCGCAGGCGGUUUGUUAAGCCAGAUGUGAAAUCCCCGGGCUUCAACCUGGGAAUUGCAUUUGGAACUGGCGAACUAGAGUCUUGUAGAGGGGGGUAGAAUUCCAGGUGUAGCGGUGAAAUGCGUAGAUAUCUGGAGGAAUACCGGUGCCGAAGGCGGCCCC